UACGGAGGGGGCUAGCGUUGUUCGGCAUUACUGGGCGUAAAGCGGGUGUAGGGGGAUCACUAAGUCAGGGGUGAAAGCCCGGGGCUCAACCCCGGAACUGCACUUGAAACUGCAUGGCUAGAAUCCUGGAGAGGUCGGGAGAAUUCCGAGUGUAGAGGUGAAAUUCGCAGAUAUUCGGAGGAAUACCAGUGGCGUAGGCGCCCGACUGGACAGGUAUUGACGCUCAGGCACGAAAGCGUGGGGAGCAAACAGG
rnacentral:rRNA from 1 species